UACGUAGGGUGCGAGCGUUGUCCGGAAUUAUUGGGCUUAAAGAGUUCGUAGGCGGUCUGUCGCGUCGGUCGUGAAAACUUGGGGCUUAACCCUGAGCUUGCGGUCGAUACGGGCAUGACUGGAGUUCGGUAGGGGAGACUGGAAUUCCUGGUGUAGCGGUGAAAUGCGCAGAUAUCAGGAGGAACACCGGUGGCGAAGGCGGGUCUCUGGGCCGAUACUGACGCUGAGGAGCGAAAGCGUGGGGAGCGAACAGG
rnacentral:rRNA from 1 species